AUAUUUUUUUAAACCCUUGUAACGCGGAGGGUAUUUUAGUCAUUGGAGGGAUUAGGGCAACACGAGAACCCCCGUAUAUAUAUGAUCGCGCUCUGUCCGACCAGUUGGCGCUGGGACUAGGGUUUUUGUGUGCUUAGUUGGCUUGCUUUGCGACUUCAACCUCAGCGAAUUUCCUCUAUUGCGAGCCAUGGCAGAGCAGACCGAGAAGGCAUUUUUGAAGCAGCCCAAGGUAUUCCUGAGCUCGAAGAAAUCAGGGAAAGGAAAGAGGCCUGGAAAGGGAGGCAAUCGGUUCUGGAAGAGCAUUGGACUGGGCUUUAAAACACCCAGAGAGGCAAUUGAAGGGACAUAUAUUGAUAAAAAGUGCCCAUUUACUGGUACUGUUUCUAUCAGAGGCCGCAUACUUGCUGGCACUUGUCACAGUGCAAAGAUGAUGAGGACCAUCAUUGUUAGACGCAAUUACCUUCAUUUUAUUAAAAAAUACCAGAGGUAUGAGAAGCGGCACUCUAAUAUUCCAGCACACAUAUCCCCAUGCUUCCGUGUGAAAGAGGGAGAUCAUGUUAUUAUUGGCCAAUGCAGGCCUUUGUCCAAGACAGUGAGGUUCAAUGUUUUAAAAGUGAUUCCAGCUGGAUCUUCUGGUGGUGGAAAGAAAGCUUUCACAGCCAUGUGAGUUUCCCAGGGCUUAGAGAUGUUGAUUGUUUCUGUGAGGGAAAAUGACUUGAGAUUCGAAUUAGACGGUAGACAGUGUUCUUUCAAUUUUGUACUUGGGUUUUUAAAUCUUUGUAUGACAAUACAAGUUUUCUUGGGAAGUUGGUUCAUAAACUAUGCUGGCAAUGGUUAUUUUAUGCAUACGCUUGUUGUUUUUUUCCAAUUACUCGGCAAAUUUUAAUCUAUUGAUUUGGGGCAUCUUCUCAAUAUGAGAAGCAAAUGUGGUGCGUGAUGACUAAGCUCUUGGUGGUAAUGAUGUUCGGAGUUACCAUGAUAUGAUGAGGGUUGAUAAAUGAAACAUUUGUCUUAGGUAAAUGAUGAUGAUUUUCAAUGUCAGGAUUUUUAACCUCAUGGUCGUACUCAUUUGUGCUUAGUGAUAAUGAUUUUCACUAAGCUCUGGUUAGUGAUAAUGAUGCUUGGAGUUAC
rnacentral:misc_RNA from 1 species